rnacentral:lncRNA from 10 species
AUUUAAUUGCCGUUUUUCAAAUGUUUCAAAUGUCCAUUAAGCCACUACUGAUAAAGUAUAGCAAGCUCUCCGGCAAAUGCGUGGCUGCAUUGGCUAUGUUCCUCCCCUUAUUGGAGGGGCUUUCACAGAGGUAGGAGAUGGCCCCAUGGUGCAGUUCCGUUUACCAAACUUGAGUGUGCUGGGUUCUAGAGCAUGGAACUCCUUAGGUGUAAAUAUUCGCUCUGCCACUUGACAGCCAUGUAGACUUGGGCAAGUAAUCCUUGGACUUCAGUUUUCUCCUUGAAAAUUCCCACCCCAUAAGCAUGGGGUCCUACAAGACUCUGCAUGAUCUACCCCAACUCCCCGAUGUCUCAUCCAGGGCUCCCCUCUGGGCUCACUCAUCAUUAGUCAAUCAAACUCCCCUGUGGCUCAGUCCUGCCAUGCAGCUGAUCCCGCUGCCUGGACCACUGUCCCUAGGAUCUGAUGAGCCAGCCCUUCACCUUCUUAAAGUCUUUGCUCAGAUUCACUUAUUCCAUAACGCCUUCCGGAAGUGCCUAACACUGCAGGCUGCCUCCACCACCCCAUCGCCCUUCACCUGCUAGCUUGCUCUACUCUUCUUUUUCCAUGGUGCAUAUCACCUUCUCAUUCACUACACAAUUCCCCUUGUUAUUUAUUAUUCACUGUCUCCACCCUAGUAUGUAAGCCCCAUGAGCACAUUUUGUUUAGUGCUGCAUCUGAACUCUCUGAAUGGCACCUGGCAUGUAUCAGACACGUGGUCCACAGAUGACUAUGGUGGCCAUAUGGUGGAGUGCACAUAGGGUACCCAGCGCACAGGGGGUACAGCAGGCAUGUCGAGCUGUGCUGGCGGGCAGCAUUCACUCCACCCUUCUCUGGCCAAGAAUCCUCAUCUCCCUUUGGAGUACCACCCCCAACACACCAUAAGUUCCUGGGAAGACUCACACCACAGCUGCCCUCCCCUUGAAAUCUGCAGCCUGAAGAAAGUGGCCUAAGUGCAGAGCAGAGCUGCAGAUCCAUCCACGGCCCUGAGAGAAUCUGCAUUAGCUCCUGUGGACUGGAUCCCCGGCCUACCUUGGUUCUUCAGUUUUUCCUUCCACCCCUUUUUGAGCCCAUAGCCUUCUAAUCACUUUCUUCUUUAAUCACAUUGAAGCAGAGCUGGCUUCUUUUGUGAGAAUAAGGAAGAAAAAAAUUUUCUCUACCCUCUUAAGUUCAGUGAUGGGGGUGUGUGAAUUAAACUGACGACAGACAGAUUAACAAGAGAAAAAUCAUACAAAUGUUUGCUAAGUCAUGUGUACUCAUGGGAGCACUCAGGGGGUGGUUAGAAUUAGGGGUCUAUAAGGGAAAGGGAGUAGGGAGAAAGGGUAAUUAAGGAAAGCACAUUACUUUUUUUUUCUUUUUAAGUAGAGAUAGGGUUUCUCCAUGUUGGUCAGGCUAGUCUGGAACUCCCGAUCUCAGGCGAUCCGCCCACCUUGGCCUCCCAAAGUGCUGGGAUUACAGGCAUAAGCCACUGUGCCUGGCCCGAAAGCACACUACUUUUUGGAAAGAUAAAUGGGCCCUCAGGAGAACAGACAGAAGGUAUGACAGUCUUGUGACAAUGUCUUUCUGGGUGGGAUGCCAACUUCUCUUCUCCGAAAAAAGAUUAGAGUUGCUCCUGGGAGGGGAUUUAUAAUAACUGAGUUCUUUUGGUAGGCUCCUGUUUUAGGCAGGUAAGGGAUUUCAGGAACUCAAAUGCCUUCAACUCAAUAGUUACAAUAAUCCUUAUACCAAAGUGGCGUAUCCUGAGGUGGCAUUUCCUGAUCCCCUUCACUAGAAACCAAAGAAUCCUAAAAAUAGAUUUUGCUUUCUUAAUUUAUCUAUUUAAAUGCUGUUACAGACAGUAAAACCGAGGUUAGAAAGACAUUUUUUAAAAAAAAUUAAUAACUGGACUAAGCCCUAGACGUGUUCACCUACAGUUCCUGCCCAAAUUACCCCCAAAUUGUCAUUUUCACAAACUGAAAAACUGCACAGUGUUAUCACAUUCUGCAAACUGGAAGUGGGAGCUGUCAAGUCACAAACAAAGCUGCCGAUGAAUCCUACUGGCAGUCAUGAAAUAUGUGUUAAUUACCAGCAGAAUCUGAUACUGAUAAAAUAAUGUUUAAAAAUCCCCUCAUCCUUCCCAGCACCCAUGGCCUCUAGCUUUCAUGGAGACCCUAUUAGCAAAAGGGCAUCAAUUUGUUUACCCAUUUCUGGUUGCUACUGGUGCGCCUGUAGAAUUGAUGUUUGCGUUACCAGCUUUCUGGCUGCUAUGUUGAGACAUCAUCAGAUUAUAAAUGUACUUGGGUGUGUAAUACUUUAGGUAAAGAUGGAUAUAAAAGGUAAUAGAAGAGUAAACAAGGCAAGAUUUUCUAGUGCAAAUUGGAGCACUAAAGUCUAGCAGGAAUGGAGAAUCCCAUCCUGUUUAAAACUCUAACAAAGAAGAGGGACAGUUUGAAUGAGUGUGGAGAAAACUGAGGUGGUCACCAGUACGCCAGUUCCAUUUCUGAUUCAACUGAAGCCUUUACUUAGUCAUCCCACCUGCUUUUAGAUUUCUCCAUGUGCCAAGAAAGUAAGUUCCCUUUUACGGGAGCUGUAUUGAUCAUUUCUGAUAAAUCAACUAAAUGGGAUGAGUUGCUCAUUUAGUAAGAUGCAUUGUCACUUGCUCAUUGCUGCAAGAGAUAUUUGUGCACAUUUACACUGUGUGAGCAGGUGCACCUGGAGCGUGAAGGUAAAUGACAGCUCCUUGGUUCCAGCUGCUGGGAGGAUGCACUCUAAGAGGAGAGAAGAGGUGAGCACAAAACUAGCCACGCUCAGGGCAGAGCAUGGUCAGCAUCAGAGGAGAGUUAGAAAGUGAGGGCAUUUAGAUUGAUUCCAUGCCAACCUAGAUGCCCAUCAAUGACAGAUUGGAUAAAGAAAAUGCAGUACGUAUACACCAUGGAAUACUAUGCAGCCAUAAAAAGAAUGAGAUCAUGUCUUUUGUGGGAACAUGGAUGAAGCUGGAGGGUAUUAUCCUUAGCAAAAUAACACAGGAACAGAAAACCAAAUACUGCAUGUUCUCACUUAUAAGUGGGAGAUAAAUGAUGAGAACUCAUGACCACAAAGAAGGAACAACAGACCCUGGGGUCUACUUGAAGGGGGAGGAGGGAGAGGAGCCGAACAGAUAACUAUUGGGUACUGGACUUAAUGCAUGGGUGAUGAAAUAAUCUGUAUAACAAACGCUUGGAACGUGAGUUUACCAAUAUAACAAACGUGCACAGGUACCCCUGAACCUAAAAUAAAAGUUAAAAAAGAAAGGGUGGUUCCUCUGGGCAAGAAACGGUUCCCACCAGGAGGUGAUAUUUGAGCUUUAACAUCUAGCAAUGGCUUCCACAGGCAGAAGCCAAGGGCCAGGCACAGAGACGGUUAAUUCUCUGAAGCAAAAGCACAAACAGGGAUAGCAUCGGCUGCUGCAGAAGUAGCUAGAGAGGAACAACGGCUGAAAGAGGAGGGCAUGGCCGCCUCGUGGGCCUCGGCCCUGGCCGUGUGCAGCGGAGCCCCUGUGCAGGGGCCGCGACAGUCCCCCUCCACUACCACCUUUUCUUUGCAAUCUCCAAGACCGGCAGCAUUUUAAUGCAUGAGUUAAAUAUAGGUAAACAUGUGAGUUAACGAGUUCAUAAGAGCAAAAAGGACCAAACAAGGAUUUCAAAUGGUAAUUGAAGGAAAACAGUCAAAAAUUGAUUCCUCUACUCUCUCAAAGAUAUGGAACAUUUAGCAAAGAGCUAAGCCAAGCUGUCUCAUCCUGAGAAUGACACACCAAUUACAUUCUGAACCACAUCCGUGUUCAAAUCUGAACUGAUAUCUAAUUCCAAGCACAUAAUGCUUGAAGUACUUUUGUUUAAAUCUUAUUUCUUUGUUCGCUUAAGGAAACCCAGAAAAGGGAAGGCAAUUGAAAAUUAAUCAUGUCUGCUGAGAUUACAGUGAUCACAGAUAAUUUUCCCAUUUCACUUUCUCCUAAUUGGUCUUUUAUUUUUUUCAAUUUUACUAUUGGAUAGUCAUGAGUUUUUUUGUUUUUUUGUUUGUUGUUUGUUUGUUUAGAUGGAGUCUCCUUCUGUUGCCCAGGCUGGAGUGCAGUGGCAUGAUCUUGGCUCACUGCAACCUCUGCCUCCCGGGUUCAAGCAAUUCUCCUGCCUCAGCCUCCGAAGUAGCUGGGACUACAGGCGUGGGCCACCACACCCGGAUAAUUUUUGUCUUUUUAGUAGAGAUGCGGUUUCACCAGGUUGGCCAGGCUGAUCUCAAACCCCUGACCUCAAGUAAUCCACCCACCUCGGCCUCCCAAAGUGCCAGGAUUACAGGCAGGGGCCACCAUGCCCAGCCAUGUAAUCUUCCUUAAAGGACAUCAGUGAUCUAGUAUUUUUAUUUAUUGCAAAUUAUACAAUAAAAUUUGUACUUGAUCAUAAGCUUUUGUAAGAUAUUAAAUUUUUUGAGACUAGAAAAACCAAAUGAAUAAUAUCCUACAGUCAGUCAAAUUAUUUGAUAUACAAAUACAAUGGGUUUCCUGAGGCGUCUGAGGAGGCUUGCGGAAGCUGUGUGAGAGGCGUUUUUAUUUAUCUAACGGUUUCUUCUUGUGCAUUCAUCUUCAUGGCAGAUUGGGGCUGGAGAGCAGCAGAGGUUUGGACCUUGUCAGAGAUGAGCUGAAAGAGGCCACCAGC